GACGAACGCUGGCGGCGUGCUUAACACAUGCAAGUCGAGCGGUAAGGCCUCUUCGGGGGUACACGAGCGGCGCACGGGUGAGUAACACGUGGGUGACCUGCCCUCAGCUCUGGGAUAAGCCUGGGAAACUGGGUCUAAUACCGGCUAUGACCUUUCCUCGCAUGGGGUUUGGUGGAAAGUUUUUUCGGCUGGGGAUGGGCCCGCGGCCUAUCAGCUUGUUGGUGGGGUGAUGGCCUACCAAGGCGACGACGGGUAGCCGGCCUGAGAGGGCGACCGGCCACACUGGGACUGAGACACGGCCCAGACUCCUACGGGAGGCAGCAGUGGGGAAUAUUGCGCAAUGGGCGGAAGCCUGACGCAGCGACGCCGCGUGGGGGAUGACGGCCUUCGGGUUGUAAACCUCUUUCGACCCCGACGAAUUUGGACGGUAGGGGUAGAAGAAGCACCGGCCAACUACGUG
rnacentral:rRNA from 1 species